GUGAAGAACGUAGCGAAAUGCGAUAAGUAAUGUGAAUUGCAGAAUUCAGUGAAUCAUCGAAUCUUUGAACGCACAUUGCGCCCGCCAGUAUUCUGGCGGGCAUGCCUGUUCGAGCGUCAUUACAACCCUCAGGCCCCCGGGCCUGGCGUUGGGGAUCGGCGGAAGCCCCCUGCGGGCACAACGCCGUCCCCCAAAUACAGUGGCGGUCCCGCCGCAGCUUCCAUUGCGUAGUAGCUAACACCUCGCAACUGGAGAGCGGCGCGGCCACGCCGUAAAACACCCAACUUCUGAAUGUUGACCUCGAAUCAGGUAGGAAUACCCGCUGAACUUAAGCAUAUCAUAAGCGGAGGA
rnacentral:misc_RNA from 1 species